GACCUGGUGGUCAUUGCGGGGCGGCCGCACCCGUUCCCAUUCCGAACACGGCCGUGAAACGCCCCUGCGCCAAUGGUACUCCGUCUCAAGACGCGGGAGAGUAGGUCGCUGCCAGGUCU
rnacentral:rRNA from 1 species